AUUGAACGCUGGCGGCAGGCCUAACACAUGCAAGUCGAGCGAGCGGCGGACGGGUGAGUAAUGUCUGGGAAACUGCCUGAUGGAGGGGGAUAACUACUGGAAACGGUAGCUAAUACCGCAUACCAUCGGAUGUGCCCAGAUGGGAUUAGCUAGUAGGUGGGGUAAAGGCUCACCUAGGCGACGACCCCUAGCUGGUCUGAGAGGAUGACCAGCCACACUUGAACUGAGACACGGUCCAGACUCCUACGGGAGGCAGCAGUGGGGAAUAUUGCACAAGGGGCGCAAGCCUGAUGCAGCCAUGCCGCGUGUAUGAAGAAGGCCUUCGGGUUGUAAAGUACUUUCAGCGGGGAGGCGUUACCCGCAGAAGAAGCACCGGCUAACUCCGUGCCAGCCGCCGCGGUAAUUC
rnacentral:rRNA from 1 species